UUGUCAACAGGAUGUGUUCGCACUGCUUGUUCCCAGCUUGUUGACAAGUUGUCAACGGCUUGUUUACAAGUUGCUACAAGGUUGUUGAGCUCAACAGACGUGUUACAAGUUGUUCCAACAACUUGUUAUCGUCCUGCAAUUCAACAAUUUGUCAACAAGUUGUGAGUGAUAACCUUGUAGCAACUUGAUGAAAUAACAGCAUUGUUACAACUUGUUGACAAGCUUGCUACAAACCUGUUGCGAACACAUCUUGUUGACAAGUUGUGAGAUUUUUACGUGUGUAGUUGUUGUAACAAGUUUGGAACAUGAAGCUGUUAACAACGUGUAACAAGCUUGAUG